CUUCCCGAUCCCUGGCCCAACCCCUGCAUGAGCCUUUGAUAUUUUCCUUAUAUGAUCAGGCCCGUUGUGGGUGGCGCCGCUUGCCCGGAGCCUGAGAGGAUUAUGAGACGCAUUAGGCCAGGGGAUCGGGCG
ensembl:snoRNA